UGAUAGGAUGAGAAGCUGUGAUUGUGUCUAUGGCUGUGCCAAAAUCUGAAUGAAAACAAGACAGCAGGAGAAUAACGGCUGCUGAAAUCGAUUUACUGGGGCAAUUGUUGAGGGGGAUAUUUCUCUUCAAUCCUGAGGUUUGAGGUCAAAUUACUACUAUCAAUUUUGUUGAAAUAUUCCAUUGACAUUGUAAUGGUAAAUUUAACAUACUGACGAAAUUGACAAUUCAAAAAUGGCUGCUAAGAAAAGUAAUAAAUCAGUCCUUUAAAUAGUGUUGUUCUUCA